GCUAGGCAUGGUGGUGAAUGCCUGUAGUUCGAGCUACUGGGGAGGCUGAGGCUGGAGGCUGGCUUGAGCCCAGGAGUUCUGGGCUGUAGUCGGCUAUGCCAGUUGGUUAUUUGCACUAAGUUCGGCAUCAAGAUAGUGACCUCUUGGGAGUGGGGUACCACCAGGUUGCUUAAGGAGUGGUGAAUCGGCCCAGGUCAGAGAUGGAACAGGUCAAAACCUACAUGCUGAUUAUAAGUAGAAACAAGAUCAGAAGAGAAAACACAAGUAGAACCUGAACUGGAGUUGGUGUAUU
rnacentral:SRP_RNA from 1 species